UACGAAGGGGGCUAGCGUUGUUCGGAAUUACUGGGCGUAAAGGGCGCGUAGGCGGUACUUCAAGUCAGGCGUGAAAGCCCCGGGCUCAACCUGGGAACCGCGCUUGAGACUGGAGAACUAGAGUUCGGGAGAGGAUGGUGGAAUUCCCAGUGUAGAGGUGAAAUUCGUAGAUAUUGGGAAGAACAUCGAUGGACGAAGGCAGCCAUCUGGACCCGACGACUGACGC
rnacentral:rRNA from 1 species